rnacentral:misc_RNA from 1 species
AACCAUAGAAACCUGCGGAGUACCUGCGGAAGGAUCAUUACAGAGUUGCAAAACUCCCUAAACCAUUGUGAACGUUACCUAAACCGUUGCUUCGGCGGGCGGCCCGGGUCCUUCCCGGCGCCCAUCGGCCCUCGCGGGCGCCCGCCGGAGGUAAACCAAACUAUUGCAUUGUAUGGCCCCUCUGAGUCUUCUGUACUGAAUAAGUCAAAACUUUUAACAAUGGAUCUCAGAUCGGAAGAG